UACGUAGGGUGCAGGCGUUAAUCGGAAUUACUGGGCGUAAAGCGUGCGCAGGCGGUUUGCUAAGAGAGAUGUGAAAUCCCCGGGCUUAACCUGGGAACUGCGUUUCUAACUGGCAGGCUUGAGUGUGGCAGAGGGGGGUGGAAUUCCACGUGUAGCAGUGAAAUGCGUAGAGAUGUGGAGGAACACCGAUGGCGAAGGCAGCCCCCUGGGCUAACACUGACGCUCAUGCACGAAAGCGUGGGAGCAAACAGG
rnacentral:rRNA from 1 species